CCCACAGCUCGGGCGGUUUGGGAGGUUUUCUCACACCCUGCCACCCCAAACCCCUCACGACCGAGGCCCCUCCCUAUCCGAACUGAAUUCCUACACUGAGAUUUCAGGUGUGCCCGGCCUCAUCGAGUUCUGAGACAGAUUUUAAGGCUCUUUUAUCCUGGACUCCGAGGCUGACUCAAUUUCCAGAAAAUGAACGGUGUGAUCUGGUUGGUCUCAACCUUCUGGGCGCAAGCCAUCCUUUUGGAGUAGCUGGGACUGCAGAGGACCGUCACUACAGAGACUAUCAGCGUGGCUUGUGGCCUUUAGGUGUGUUUCUGUGACUGAUGCGGCUGAAGCUUCCUGGCUGGGGACUGUGAUGGGGACACAGAGAACUAUGGGAGACGGCCCACUGAAGACAGUUGGAGAAGUCAAAGGUCUUCCUGUCAGAGGAGGCUACUGUCUCCCUGAGGCAGAUGUCUCUAGCUCUAACAUCUGCCGACCUGAAAUGCCUGCAGGAGACCAUGGUCACAUCACAAAGCCCUUUCAAGUCAGGAAUUUGUCCUAAGGAAGCCCGCAAACGUGGGAAAUAUGUAUGUUUGAGAAGGCAGCCAACUGGAAAAAGCCACACAGCCCUCAGCAGUGCAGGUCCCGAAUCACGCGUGGUGUUGCAGUCACUGAGAGAAUGAGGAACAGUGAGCAUGGAAUGUGGGCCUGUAAUUCCAGCCCGUGGGAGGCGGAAAGCAAGAAGAUGGAAAAUUGGGCUUACCUAUGCGAUACCUCGUGUUCCAGGCCCUGGCAGAGCUGUACAGCCGCCAUGACAGCCAGUUCUGGAGCAUUCCCACGGCUUCAGAGAAGCCAUUAGUAAUGGCUUGCCAUGGGACCCACCCCAGGGCCUAUCAUUGAUUUUCUGUCUUUGCUCAUCUGACUGUUCUGAGUACUUGAUGUACGUGGACUUGUUCAGUAUGGAUCCUUAGUGACCUCUGCUUUUUUUUUUUUUUUUAAAUCUAUGUACGUAUCUAUGUAAUCUAUCUAUCUAUGUUUUGAGACAGGGUCUUUUUACAUGACUCUGGCUGUCCUAGAGCUCACUAUGUAGACCAGGUUGGCUUCUAACUCAUAGAGAUCCACCUGCCCCUCCUUCUCAAAUGCUAGGAUUAAAGGUGUGCCCCACCAUGCUCGGCUUGCACGGGCAUGCAAUUUUCUUUUAUAGCAAUAGGGUUUUCAAGGUGCUCCCCUCUCUUUCCCCCCCUUCUCUCCCUUUUCUCAGCCCACCUUUCUCUAAUUAAGCAAGACUAAAACAGCUACCCCAGGACCUUUCCUGUAAGGGCUUCAUCACUGAACUGCAAGCUGCACAUCCAACCAAAACUAAUUUUCUUUCUUAUUUAUAUUUAGACUUUUAAAAAAUGUGUGUGUGUGAGUGUAUGUAUUCUAUGAAUGUUAGUGGCCACGGAAGCCAGAGAUGCCAACCUCCUGGAGCUGGGGUGGCAGGCUGUUGUGAGCCACCGUUGUGGGUGUGGGGUCACUGAAUCAUCUCUCCAGGGCACCCCCCAUUCCAUUUUUUUUCUUCGACAAGGUCUUACGAAGCUCCAGCUGGCCUUGAAUUUGCUGUGUGACAGGUGGCCUCUCCUGUCUUUUUGUGUCCUUAGGUAACAGGUGUGUGUCACCAUGCCUGGUUAAUGUAGUGCUGGGGACUGAACCUAGGGCUUUGUUUGAGCUUGGCAAGCACUUUGCCAAGUGAGCUACACUUCCAGUCAUAGAACAUGGUUUUGAUUGUAUGUUUUUGCUUCUGAGUCAGUGUCUCACUCUGCAUGCAUAUGGUAUGCAGGCCAGGGUAGCCUUAAACUCAGAGACCGGCCUGCCUCUGCCUCUGGAGUGCUGGUCCUGGAGGUGUAGGCCGCCACUAUCCUCUAAGGGCACACGGGGCAUGGUGGCAUACACUUGUAAUCCCAGCACCUGAGAAGCAGGAGCAGCUGAAUCAGGGUUUUGAAGCCUUCUUCUCCUGUAGCAGGUGUCCAGUCUAAGACCCGCUUCUCAAAAACAGCAAAACCACGAAGACAGUGGCAAGCUGUUUGUUUAUUUAUCUUUUCAAGACAGAGUUUCUCUGCCCUGAUUGUCCUGAAACUCGCUCUGUAGACAAGGCUGGUCUCAAACUCAGAGACCCACCUGUCUCUGCCAACCAAGGAUGGGGUAAUGUGUGGAGCCAUGGAAUGGCCGUUUGACUCCUGCCUGCUUGGAAUCUAUGAUGCACAUUGUGCCUUGCAUGGUACAGUGAGUUUCCAUCCCUGGACCGCAGCUGCUGCUUUGAGCUUUGUAGAGGUUUGUCCAACCGUUUAGAUUUGGCAAGGUAUGCAUAUGAGCACUUGCCUCCCGCUUACCUGAGAACUGCCCUCCUCCUGCUUUUUGGAAUUUCCUUGAGAAUAUCCUGCUUUGUGGUUUUCACUGAAACUAGUUCCUCCCCCGGAGUUGCCCAUUCUUACUCUUUAUAAGCUGUAACCUAACAUACAAUAAACCGA